CCUACGGGGGGCAGCAGUAGGGAAUCUUCCACAAUGGGCGAAAGCCUGAUGGAGCAACGCCGCGUGGGUGAAGAAGGUCUUCGGAUCGUAAAACCCUGUUGUUAGAGAAGAAAGUGCGUGAGAGUAACUGUUCACGUUUCGACGGUAUCUAACCAGAAAGCCACGGCUAACUACGUGCCAGCAGCCGCGGUAAUACGUAGGUGGCAAGCGUUAUCCGGAUUUAUUGGGCGUAAAGGGAACGCAGGCGGUCUUUUAGGUCUGAUGUGAAAGCCUUCGGCUUAACCGGAGUAGUGCAUUGGAAACUGGGAGACUGGAGGGCAGAAGAGGAGAGUGGAACUCCAUGUGUAGCGGUGAAAUGCGUAGAUAUAUGGAAGAACACCAGUGGCGAAAGCGGCUCUCUGGUCUGUAACUGACGCUGAGGUUCGAAAGCGUGGGUAGCAAACAGGAUUAGAUACCCCUGUAGUC
rnacentral:rRNA from 1 species